rnacentral:tRNA from 1 species
GGGUAGGUGGUGGAAUUGGUAUACACGCAGCCUUGAGGUGGCUGUGGGCGCAAGCCUGUGCAGGUUCAACUCCUGUCCUACCCACCA